AAUACAUGCAAGUCGAGCGGACAGAAGGGAGCUUGCUCCCGGACGUUAGCGGCGGACGGGUGAGUAACACGUAGGUAACCUGCCCCUUAGACUGGGAUAACUCCGGGAAACCGGAGCUAAUACGGGAUAAUAAAGAGAAUCACCUGAUUCUCUUUUGAAAGACGGUUUCGGCUGUCACUAAGGGAUGGGCCUGCGGCGCAUUAGCUAGUUGGUAAGGUAACGGCUUACCAAGGCGACGAUGCGUAGCCGACCUGAGAGGGUGAUCGGCUACACUGGGACUGAGACACGGCCCAGACUCCUACGGGAGGCAGCAGUAGGGAAUCUUCCGCAAUGGACGAAAGUCUGACGGAGCAACGCCGCGUGAGUGAGGAAGGCCUUCGGGUCGUAAAGCUCUGUUGUGAGGGAAGAACAAGUACCGGGGUAACUACCGGUACCUUGACGGUACCUCACCAGAAAGCCACGGCUAACUACGUGCCAGCAGCCGCGGUAAUACGUAGGUGGCAAGCGUUGUCCGGAAUUAUUGGGCGUAAAGCGCGCGCAGGCGGCUUCUUAAGUCUGAUGUGAAAUCUCGGGGCUCAACCCCGAGCGGCCAUUGGAAACUGGGAAGCUUGAGUGCAGAAGAGGAGAGUGGAAUUCCACGUGUAGCGGUGAAAUGCGUAGAUNUGUGGAGGAACACCAGUGGCGAAGGCGACUCUCUGGUCUGUAACUGACGCUGAGGCGCGAAA
rnacentral:rRNA from 1 species